rnacentral:rRNA from 1 species
UACGGAGGGUGCGAGCGUUAAUCGGAAUAACUGGGCGUAAAGGGCACGCAGGCGGUUGUUUAAGUGAGGUGUGAAAUCCCCGGGCUUAACCUGGGAAUUGCAUUUCAGACUGGGCAACUAGAGUACUUUAGGGAGGGGUAGAAUUCCACGUGUAGCGGUGAAAUGCGUAGAGAUGUGGAGGAAUACCGAAGGCGAAGGCAGCCCCUUGGGAAUGUACUGACGCUCAUGUGCGAAAGCGUGGGGAGCAAACA